CCCAACCGUUGCUGCUACCUUGAAGUGGUGGUCGGGCUUCCUUAUUGUGAUGAAAUAAUCCAGCUAUAUUGGCUGGAACAAUCGUUCCUUAAGGUCCUACCAUGCCAGGCAGGUCGGUUGAAGAGUGGUAGGACUAAAAGCAGC
rnacentral:ribozyme from 1 species